rnacentral:sRNA from 1 species
AGCUAGCUUUGCAAUAUGGCGGCCGAGGUGGAUGGACCGCUUAAACGGCUGCUCGUGCCGAUUCUUUUACCUGAGAAAUGCUACGACCAACUUUUCGUUCAGUGGGACUUGCUUCACGUCCCCUGCCUCAAGAUUCUCCUCAGCAAAGGCCUGGGGCUGGGCAUUGUGGCUGGCUCACUUCUAGUAAAGCUGCCCCAGGUGUUUAAAAUCCUGGGAGCCAAGAGUGCCGAAGGGUUGAGUCUCCAGUCUGUAAUGCUGGAGCUAGUGGCAUUGACUGGGACCAUGGUCUACAGCAUCACUAACAACUUCCCAUUCAGGUGAGGGGCCCACCCUUCCACCCCAAGGGUAAUACCCACAACUCUAAUGGGGAUUCAGGUGAAGGAGGUUACAAGGCAGGAAAGUGGCCAGGCCCAGUGGCUUGCGCCUGUAACCCCAGCACUUUGGGAGGCCGAGGCAGGUGGAUCACCUGAGGUCAGGAUUUCGAACUGGCCAACAUGGUGAAACCCUGUCUCUACUAAAAAUACAAAAUUAGCUGGGUGUGGUGAUGGGCACCUGUAAUCCCAGCUACCUGGGAGGCUGAGGCAGGAGAAUCACUUCAACCUGGGAGGCGGAGGUUGCAGGGAGCCAAGAUUGCGCCACUGCACUCCAGCCUGGGCAACAAGAGCGAAACUCUGUCU